rnacentral:rRNA from 1 species
CCUGGCUCAGAUUGAACGCUGGCGGCAUGCUUUACACAUGCAAGUCGAACGGCAGCGGGGGCUUCGGCCUGCCGGCGAGUGGCGAACGGGUGAGUAAUGCAUCGGAACGUGCCCAUGUCGUGGGGGAUAACGUAGCGAAAGCUACGCUAAUACCGCAUACGCCCCUGAGGGGGAAAGCGGGGGAUUCUUCGGAACCUCGCGCGAUUGGAGCGGCCGAUGUCGGAUUAGCUAGUAGGUGAGGUAAAGGCUCACCUAGGCGACGAUCCGUAGCGGGUCUGAGAGGAUGAUCCGCCACACUGGGACUGAGACACGGCCCAGACUCCUACGGGAGGCAGCAGUGGGGAAUUUUGGACAAUGGGCGCAAGCCUGAUCCAGCCAUGCCGCGUGAGUGAAGAAGGCCUUCGGGUUGUAAAGCUCUUUCGGCCGGGAAGAAAUCGUGGUCUCUAACAUAGGCCAUGGAUGACGGUACCGGAC